UUACAGAGAUCCAUAUGGACAGACACAAGUGAUGCGAAUAAUCUCUGGCUGAUACAGGAGGCUCUCUUAUUCUGGUGGCCAGGAGCCAGUUACCCAGGGGAUUACUCCAAAGAUGAACUUUGUAGAAGACUGGUACCUGCGCACAUGUAUACAACUGCGAGAUGUUACAGUUAUCCAAACUGUUUAUAAUGUUGCAAGAGAAGUACUGUGUUGCAACAAAGGAUACGCUGUGUAAAGCAGAAGGAUUUUACAACAACCACAGAGCAUGGUGGUCAAAGGAGAAUUUGUCUGCAGUAGUGACCCUACUAGCUGGUGACUGUGCCAGAGUGAGAUAUC